rnacentral:ncRNA from 1 species
CGAAGUCCUGGAAUGACUUGAAUCUUACCCUGGUGCGGAUGGGGCAACCCCGCCCAGUUUCUUGCUUCUGGAUAAAGAGCAAGUGGCGAGCCUGAAG